UAGUCAUAUGCUUGUCCCAAAGAUUAAGCCAUGCAAGUCCAAGUAUAAACCCAAGUACGGUGAAACUGCGAAAGGCUCAUUAAAUCAGUUAUAAUUUACUUGAUGAAAGAUUUUACUACAUGGAUAACCGUGGUAAUUCUAGAGCUAAUACAUGCGCAAAAGCCAUUUUUAUGGUAGUAUUUAUUAGAUAAAAAACCAAAAAAUCAGAGGUGAAUCAUAAUAACUAAACGGAUCGAAUGGCCAUGAGCCGUCGACGCAUCAAAAAAAUAUCUGCCCUAUCAACUUUGGAUGGUAGGAUAGAGGCCUACCAUGGUGUUAACGGGUAACGGGGAACUGGGGUUCGAUUCCGGAGAGGGAGCCUGAGAAAUGGCUACCACUUCCAAGGAAGGCAGCAGGCGCGCAAAUUACCCAAUCCUGAAACAGGGAGGUAGUGACAGUAAAUAACAAAGCAGAGCCAUAAGGUUUUGCAAUUGGAAAGAGAAAAAGGUAAAGAUGAUAUCGAGAAACGAUU
rnacentral:rRNA from 1 species